rnacentral:misc_RNA from 1 species
UUACUAAAAUUGUGUUCUGUCAGUCAGUGGCAAAAAGUCUUGCAAACUUCCUUUUAGCAAACCCAAAAUAUUUCAAAAACCAUAGGCAAUUAUAAGAAUUUUUUGCAGAAAAAAUCUUGAAAUUUUGGCUAAAUUAUUAUGAGAGAAGUUACAAGACAUGCUUCUGAGCCUGUUAUAUCUUAGUAUUUGUCUCAAAAAAUGUUACAAGUCCAAUCCAAGCAACCAAGAUAUAUGAUUAUGUACCUAAAAACCAAGAAAUGUAAUCAGCAAUUUAAUUUCAGCAACUUUACAUCAAUAGAUCCAAGGGAUGGUCCAAAAGUAAAGACUUGAAAUUUUUCCACAUAUUGCUUUGGGUUGAAAGAGUUUGCGGAAAAAAG